UGAGAAUAUAGAUCUCCGACCACUGACCAAACUCCACUUCAAGCAGUCCCGAGGACUGCUCUUCCCCUUGCCCAUGGACCUGUCUGCUCAGUCCCUGGAUCUCCCAGGAUCAUGCCGAAAAUUUUGCACUGGAACACAGCACUGGUACUUGCACAAAGUGGAUUUGGCACUUAAUGUCAGCAGCUUCCUUUCUGGGAAGAACCUCGGGAAUAACCAGGAGUGUGGGGAGUGCCUGAAUAACCUGCUGUGUCCCCAAAGUCCUCAAUCACUAGAGCACAGCAAGGGGUGAGUGAGAACCAGACAACACUCAGGAGCUCCAGGUCCACAGCAGCUGCACACCCACCACACACCCUCCUGUGUGACACAACCCUCCUGUCCACUGCCAGAGAAACAAAAACACAGCAGAAGGCAAGGCACAGGAACAUGGAAGCCUUCUACAUGAAAGGUUUGUUGCAUGGAUCCAGCAAAGGCAGGAGAUCACACGUCCCUACAGUUCCAGAGAGCCAUGGCCAGGACACUGCAGGGCCAAAUACCUGGCUCCCAGCUAACAAACAUGGGAAACUGCUAAUCAGCCAGAGUCACAGCACCCACCAUGCUGCCCAUGUUGGGGCAUCUCUCUCUUGAGCCCCAGAACUAACCUGGAGCCAUCGCCACCCACAAACCUGGUAUGUUCAUCCUUCACGAAGCAAAACAGAAACCAGAGACAUGGGGGUCCCAUCCGGUGGGGACCAGCAAUACCAGCGGGAAUGAGCAUGUUCUGGCAGCUCCAAAUCCACACUGGAGACCCUGUCAAUGCCCUUCAUUCACAUAAACUCUGCAGCGCUGGUUAUGCAGCUGCUUCUCUCCCUGCUGAAGUGCUGGGGGAGCAGGGGGGUACCUGGUGUUUCCUGGAACAGGUCGUAUCUGCUGCCAUUCAUCUUCCAGGGGCGCUCAGCUGCGUGGGCAGAGCUAGGGAUGUCUCGCCCCUGGAUGGGGCUGUGCAGCCGGCGAGCCCCGCGCGGGCAGCGGGGCACGAGCCAUGCCCAGGAGCUGCUUGUGCUGUAGAGGCAGGGACAGGCUAAUCCCUUAAUGCUGGUCACAAUGAGAUUUGAUGGGGAGCAGGAGUUUGUGCCGCAGAGCCGCAGGUUUUAAAGGGUUCUGGCCACUGCCCGGAGGAAAAUUCUAAGGUGGCUCUGGGUCUGUGCCCUGCUGCCAGUGCCCGCAGCAAUGCCCGCUGCUUUCUGGGCCACCUUUCUGAGGUCACUCACCCUCCUCUGCGGCUGCCACUGCGUUUCUUUAGGGCAGGGAGUACCUGACCAUCUGUGCAGCCCUGGAGGUUGAUCCAGAAAAUGUGCCUGGGUGUGUCUAACAGCAGGAGUGGGUCUGGCUCCUCUGGGAGAAGCUGACUGCUUUUGCUUUAAAGUGUUUCUAUAUAAAUAACCAGAACACCGUGUCCUUGAGCAACAAUCUUGUUUUCCCCUCCCAGCUAACAUCACAACACAGGAUGGCUCAGUGCAGAGGGGAGCAGGGACACUGCUGAACACCCAGAAUUUUCUUUUUUGCAGGAAGUGUGUUCUGGCAAGUGUGGGCCUGUUUCUAAUGGAGGAGGAAAAUGGUGUGAGGGAAUAGAGUGGCACUUCACUGGGGUUUCACAGGCACUGAGUGGAUUGCUGAAAGGGAGGCCUGGGCAUCUCUGAAUUCAGCCUUGGGCUACAUGGCUGUGACCCAACUAGAGCCAGGUCUUAUCAGCCUCUGUGUCCAGAAGAACCAAUUCAGCGACAGACCCACCUGAAACAACCAUUUCCCUGCAUUUUCCUUCCUCCUCAGAUGACUCUUUUCCUGCCAAGCCCACCUGUGCUUUUGCUGUGCCAAGGAGAAGAGAGCUCAUUCCCACCCUCCAGCCCAAGCACCACCUCAAAGGCACCAGUCUAAUGGAGCAAAAGCAUUCCCAAGCCAUUCCUGUCUCCACAAGCUUCUGCUUCCACUUGGAAUUCCCUGAGUUAUAUUUGAGUUAAUUUGGAGUGCCCACAGUCAGCAACUUCCAGAAUGCUGCUGGUGGGUCAGGAAUGGGGAGUGACCAGCAGCUCUGUCCCUCAGCUCUGUGCCCAGGGAGGGGACCAGCAGCAUCUGUCCCUCAGCUCUGUGCUGGCAACAGGGGCUGAUGCCCAACAUUCCCACGUGGAGCAGGGAGCAGCAUCAAGGGCAGGGCUGGGACUGAACUGUGUGUAACCCCAUGACACCUCCAUGCACCCCUGUGUUGCCACACAGGUUUUAGUGGCUGUAACAGGGAAACACACCCAAGUCAACAGACAUUUCUCCCAGACAAUGGCAGUCUCCAGGCACACACCCAUGGAUGAGCCACAGGCAGCACUUGGCUCUGCUUCCACCACCUCGGUCCCACCACCUUGGUGGCAGCAGACUCCAGGCAGGGGAGUAGCCAGGGCUGUGGAUCUGAAGCCCGGCUGUUUGUCCCUUGUCCCUCCUGCCUCCUUAUUCCACUCUUCAUUUUCUGUUGCCACCUUUGGCCUGCCAGCACUAAGCUCUGCAUGAGCCCUCAGGCAUCCAUCAGAGCUUUGUUCAUUCUUCCCUGCUGGGCCACUUCCACCUGAGCAUGUCCCUGGCACAGGACCUGCCCGGGCUGCAGUGGCUGCAGGUGAGAGGCUGCUGAGCUGGAUGGGGACCUGCAGCAGUUGUUACUUUACACCUUCUGCUGAGCCCCUGGUGCUGCCCUGUCCAUUAACCUGACACCAUGCCCAGCCUCACAGCCCAUGGCAAGAUUCCUUGGGUGGUGUUAGUGAAUCCUCUUCCCAGGCUGAGCUGCUGCUUUUCACCAGGGUGGUGGGGUGGCUGCUGCCAUCCCACCUGCUGGAUGGGCUGCAGGCAUUGUCCAGCUGGAUGGAAGCCAGGGCAGGCUGGAAUGCUGCAGAGGAGCAGCACCAGCCUCUUCUCAUGGGGUAUCAAGGCUUUGGGGACCCUGUGGCAAAAUGAUCAGCAUCCCUUUGGAACAGAGGGGGAGAGAAGUGGCUGAGUGGGGCAGGAGGAGCUGGGCUCUGACUCCAUGAAGGGCACUGGGCCAUAAACCCAGCACGGUGGCUGUCGUUUUUGUGUCGGCAAACACGUUGAGUGGGCUCGACUAUUGAUUCUGACCGUAUAAACCGGUGUUGUGGCACUUGUUCAGGUUUGUGCAGGUUUUACAGCUCUUGUUAUGAGAAGUGCCCAUGUAUUUGGUUUUGCUCCUUCCUUCAGGUCUAUGUGUUGACAUUGGCUCUCCUAACCAGAGCGUUGGACCAUGCCAAGAAGCCGAGUGUGUGUCUCUCCUUGUGUUUCCCACUUUACCAGGGGUUAUCACCUUUCAAAGCUCACACACACCCAUGGCUGGGACAGGUUUCUGGUGCAGAGGCAGGUGAAAGGUGUCUGCUGGUCCCCAGCACUGGCUGGUGGGUUUGGGUUCCCUGUGCUCAGUGACAGGAGAGGAACACCCACCCUGAUAGAUGGAUGAGCAAAGCUGCAGGGUUUGCAGACUUGUUGGGAUUUGUUGCAGACUGCCCUGGGAAGUCUGGAGUGGAAUGAACAAGGUCUGAGGUCUGUAGGGCUGUGAUGAAGAUCAGGCUGUCAAACCAACUUGCGAGUGCAGAGAAGGAGAAGAUGCUCCCAGAGCAUCAUCACAGAGGAUUUGGGCUAUGCCUGGUCACCUACAGUGGAGGCACACACUAUCACACAUUCCCUGCCUCCAAUCCUCUUCCCAGCAGGAGCUGCCAGCAGCAGUUGUGCCCUCAGGGACACCUUGGUGCUGGAGGCUCAAGGGCUUGAGCUCACAGUGAUGGUCCCCAUCUGUCUCUCAGCACCAGAGCUCCAUUACUGUGGGGAUGCAGCUGGAAUCCCUCUGGUGACUGCAGGAUUUUGGGAUAGGAAGUCUGGUCCAGCCUGGCAGAGCCAGGGUCUGUUUGCUCCUUGACUGCUGGUGCAUUUUCACAGCCACUUGCUCUGCAUGAGCUGCUCCUCCCACCCCUUUGGUGCAGCAUCCUGAGCCUACCUUUAUUUUUUGAGACAUGUAUUUCCUGAAGGGAUUUGCUGAGUAAUCUCUCUUGAUGCCCAGGCUGAAGCUUGGACAGGAGCCAUUCCUGGGAGUAAUUGCUUUUGGAACCCAGCUUUGCUCAGAGGCCCCGGUGCCUCUGCCCAGGACAGGAGGGCAGACCCCUCAGCCCCGGGUUCACCAUACAACCCCUACCUUCAAACUCGCCUUCCGUGAAAAUUCUGCAACAUUUGCCAUUUCCACAUACAUUUCUGCCAGGAACCUUGUUUGCUUGAAUAUUUGAGGAAAGCAAACAGAGAAGGAGCCUGAACACAAACAGUCAUGGAUGUUUUUUUGCAGUCUUUGCCCUGUUCUAACCCCAAGCCUGCCGGCAGGCAUCCCCUGAUGUACCCCUUGGCUCUGCCCUGUGUGCUGCCCUGUCCCCCACUGCUGGCCCUGGUCCUGCUGCAAAUACUGCUGUAUGUAAAAGAAACUCACCCAGCCCUUGCUGUCUGUGGGACCACCAUCACUCACACCCCUUUGCACUCAUGCUAAGUAAACAUUGUUUAAUGCCAUUUAAGAAAUGUCAGCAGAUGACUAACAGAGUACGACUGGCAGACCUACACCUGCCCUGCUGAGCUCAGAACAUCUCUCAGACACUCCUCAAGCCUUCCUGAGCCUCUUGCUGCUCACCUUCCAGAGCUGGAGCUCAUUUCCUGCUGACAGCAGCCCUCUGGGCUCACUCUCCCUAUAAAAAUACCAUUGUGUUUCAAGCUAAGCCCAAGUUGAGGGUGUGUUGCUGGCCCCAUAAAUGGCUGGAAUGAGGUGGGAGAAGUCACAGCCCUGUGGGUAAGUGCAGACACCCUGUGACACUGAGCAGCAUGCCCAGCUCUUCCCCAAGGGAACCUUCACCAAGCACCAGAAAACAGCUCUUGGGAGCAGACCAAGGUGCUAACACAGUGAUUGUCCCUUUUGCAUCCCAGCAAAUACCUGUGUUUAUUCCUGGCUGCACCAAUACUCUGCUCAGGCACUGGAACAUGCUGACCUUGCCAGCACCAGUGUUACAUCCACCCCAACAUCCAGCAGGGAUGGCCAGAGUGGGAACAAGGAGGGGGGAUGUGCCAGGUGUCCUAAGACCCAUCGGUCCCUGCUGGCUGCUAGGCCAUGGACACAGAGAACAAGGAGUAAACAGAGGAGUUAAAGAGCAGCUGACAUGAGCAGUCAAGGAGGAAAAGUUCAGUUGAGGUCAUUUCUAGAGGAAACCUGUAAAAAACUUGAUGUAUUUGGCAGUGAAAAUUAAAAAUACUCAGGAAA